rnacentral:ncRNA from 1 species
AUCCGUUGGGGUGCCCGUUCAGGGCUGAGAGGCGCAAGCUGACCCAUCGAACCUGAUCCGGACAAUACCGGCGGAGGGAACGGAG